ensembl:lncRNA
UUUGUGUGUUUCUAUCUCAGUAAGAGGGACAAUUGGGAUAAACAGCUCACAGAUGGACAUUGAGUUGAUGAUUCGGUCAGUUUGGAUUAUGUAAGUGGAGAGAAGUCGCAACUAAACUGACUCACUAGACUUGCUGAAGCCGGAGAUGCACUCCUCCAGGAACUCCAGGCAUAUGAGACAUCUGUAUGCUGUAGCGGUGGAGGUCCAAGGAGCCUAGAAAUAACUAAGUCAGAAAAAGACCCGAGGGGGGAUAGGAAGUGUGUGCAUCUCAAGAGGCUGGGUCGUAGCAGGUGCUUCCUCUGACAAACACACACGACAGACCGCUCCUUAUACUGACAUCUUCCUAGUCCAGUUAACCUUGUCACUCUUGCUCUUUCUCUCACACACAAGCGCUCUAAGGCUGUGCCCUUGCCCAGAACAAAAGAAAAAAAGAAAACGGCACCCUGCAAUAACUCUGCGGACUCCAAGCAAAUAGAAACUGAAGAAUGGAAGGCUCCAGAAUGUCUCUCCAUCUUCUCUUCUUCCUUCUGAUUGGACAAGCUUCACACACCAGCAUUACUCAGCCUCAGACCACUAAUGCCAUAUAUCCAACUGACAUAACCUCAAUUACCCAAGAGGAAAAUGACACCUCCAGCUCUCCCACAAAGGCCACCACGGGCUGCCUCAUCAAGCCCCAGUUGGGCUUCAUAGUGGUGACCUGCGCCGGGGGCCUGGUCCUGUUUCUGCUCGUCUCUACUGUGGUCCUGGCCUCCCAGGUGUGCAGUCUUAGGCGCCAAGCCCGUGCCCCUCGCCCCGCCCGCAGUAACGUGGACCUGGUGAGUGGCGCGGGCUACUGGGACACAGAGCACUCUGAGGGGGGCAUAGUGGGGCCCUGUGAUACCAGUGUCAUGUUGGAGGAGGUCCGUUUGGAUGGAGAAGAGGAUGAAGAGCAGGGGGAAGAAGAGGAGGAGGAAAGGGAGGAGGAGCAGGCAGAAGGGGUCAGAUGCCAAACAGGGGAUGCGAGAACAACUGGCGAAAUAGCCAUGCAGAUGCAGAGUUCCAGCUCCAGGGAUUUGUGUCUGGAAAUCCCCCAGGAUCUAGAGAACAUGCCCCUAGUGGUGUGAGUAGAGCAUUGCAUGCACUCCCUCUCCAGCCUCAGAGAGCCAUGGCCUGGCUCAGAGCUGAACUUCACUCAGGCAUAGAUAUCAACAGGCCAGAUCAGCUCCAGUCUUGUGCCUCAAGUCAAAACAAAGAGUAUUUGUUAUUUUUUUAAUAAGUACUCGAGCUAUAUGUAAUCAAUUUUAGGAGCUUUUACAUAUUUGCUUUGUAAACUGCAUUAAUCUGAUUUGGAAUGAUUUUGUCUCAAAUUUAUUUCUAUAGAGAACAUUUGAAUAGGCUGUUGGGAGCAGCAAGACAUUAAUUUGAAAUAAUGUGCUACGAACAGCACACUACUGCCAACUGCCCAAGUUAAUUAAGCUUACAGCUUACUACGAAGGUUCAGGAUCUUUGUACGGGGGGGGGGGGUCACUUAUAUUUUACAUUUGAGUCAUUUAGCAGACGCUCUUAUCCAGAGUGACUUACAGGAGCAACUAGGGUAAAUUACCUUGCUCAAGGGCAUAUUGACAAAUUAAAAACAGUGACCUUUCGGUUACUGGCCCAAAGCUCUUAACUGCCAAAUUCAAUCAUAUUAGCAGUACACUAUGCCAACUUCCCUUAAUGGCAGAGGUGUAACAAAGUGUAACAAAAAGGUAUUAAGCUUACGUAGAAAGUAUAUUUUGUUGAAGAUUGAAAUGAUAGAAACUCAACUCCAAUAUGUAAUAGAAUGGAAGCCCCCCCCCCAUCUCUAUUGACACUGUAGGCUAAAAGAUUCCUUCUCAGCAAACAAGCACUCAAACAUUGUCUACCAUAUAUAUAACUGAAUGUGGUGGCUUCUCCCCAAGACAUUAAAUGUCAAACAUUGUAUAAUAUAUGUUGUCCAAUCUAAACUGUCCUAUCUACCUGUAUUAAAAAAAUAUAAUAAUAAAACACACUCAAAUAUGCCAACAUGCUUGCUGGUCAGAUGUGAGUUCAGUUAAAAUGAUUACUUUCCACCAACUUGAUGUGAACUUCCUUUCCUUUAUCUGAAGUGAUUCCAUGCACAAAUACUAUACCAAGGGUAAACUUUGAACAUCUUGUUGCCAUCGGUGGCUGGGCACAGAGAUAGCAUUGGGCCUGCCAAGCCUACUUGUUACAUUAAUAAGUCUUCCCCUCAACCUUCACGUGUCAGUCGAGCAGUCACAGAACACCUAACUCAUUUGUUUCCACUCCUCUCUACUAAGGCUAACUUCUUUUCUCUUUUCUGUAAAAAUACAAUAUUUGUUUAAAUGCCACAACCCAAA